rnacentral:rRNA from 1 species
GGAGGAUCCAAGCGUUAUCCGGAUUCAUUGGGUUUAAAGGGUGCGUAGGCGGAAUGAUAAGUCAGUGGUGAAAGCCUGCAGCUUAACUGCAGAACUGCCAUUGAUACUGUCAAUCUUGAGUACAUUUGAUGUGGGCGGAAUGUGUCAUGUAGCGGUGAAAUGCUUAGAUAUGACACAGAACACCGAUUGCGAAGGCAGCUCACAAAACUGUAACUGACGCUGAGGCACGAAAGCGUGGGUAUCAAACAGGAUUAGAUACCCUGGUAGUCCACGCUGUAAACUAUGAUUACUCGAUGUUUGCGAUACACUGUAAGCGUCUAAGCGAAAGCGAUAAGUAAUCCACCUGGGGAGUACGCUCGCAAGAGUG